rnacentral:rRNA from 1 species
UACGAAGGGUGCAAGCGUUACUCGGAAUUACUGGGCGUAAAGCGUGCGUAGGUGGUGGUUUAAGUCCGUUGUGGAAGCCCUGGGCUCAACCUGGGAACUGCAGUGGAUACUGGAUCACUAGAGUGUGGCAGAGGGUAGUGGAAUUCCCGGUGUAGCAGUGAAAUGCGUAGAGAUCGGGAGGAACAUCAGUGGCGAAGGCGACUGCCUGGGCCAACACUGACACUGAGGCACGAAAGCGUGGGGAGCAAAC